GAGUUUGAUCGUGGCUCAGAUUGAACGCUGGCGGCAAGCCUAACACAUGCAAGUCGAGCGGCAUCGAAAGAAAGCUUGCUUUCUUGUCGGCGAGCGGCAAACGGGUGAGUAAUAUCUGGGAAUCUACCCAAAAGAGGGGGAUAACUACUAGAAAUGGUAGCUAAUACCGCAUAAAGUUGAAAAACCAAAGUGGGGGACCAUAAUAGGCCUCAUGCUUUUGGAUGAGCCCAGACGAGAUUAGCUUGUUGGUAAGGUAAAGGCUUACCAAGGCUACGAUCUCUAGCUGGUCUGAGAGGAUAACCAGCCACACUGGAACUGAGACACGGUCCAGACUCCUACGGGAGGCAGCAGUGGGGAAUAUUGCACAAUGGGCGAAAGCCUGAUGCAGCUAUGCCGCGUGUAUGAAGAAGGCCUUAGGGUUGUAAAGUACUUUCAGCGGGAAGAAAAAUAAACUAAUAAUUUUAUUUCUUGACGUUACCCGAAGAAGAAGCACCGGCUAACUCCGUGCCAGCCGCCGCCGUAAG
rnacentral:rRNA from 2 species